GAUGAACGCUGGCGGCGUGCCUAAUACAUGCAAGUCGAGCGAACGGACGAGAAGCUGGCUUCCCUGAUGUUAGCGGCGGACGGGUGAGUAACGCGUGGAUAACCUACCUAUAAGACUGGGAAAACUUCGGGAAACCGGAGAUAACCCCGUAAGAUAAUUUGAACCGCAUGGUUCAAAAAUGAAAGACGGUUUUGCUGUCACUUAUAGAUGGAUCCGCGCUUCAUUAGCUAGUUGGUAAGGUAACGGCUUACCAAGGCAACGAUGCAUAGCCGACCUGAGAGGGUGAUCGCCCACCCUGGAACUGAGCACCGGCCCGGCCUCCUACGGGAGGCAGCGGUAGGGAUUCUUCCGCAUUGGGCGAAAGCCUGACGGGGCAACGCCGCGUGAGUGAUGAAGGUCUUCGGAUCGUAAGACUCUGUUAUUAGGGAAGAACAUAUGUGUAAGUAACUGUGCACAUCUUGACGGUACCUAAUCAGAAAGCCACGGCUAACUACGUG
rnacentral:rRNA from 1 species